rnacentral:rRNA from 1 species
CGACGUAAAGAACUGCCUCACAGCUAGGGACAACAUUUAGAAAUGAAUGCUAAUACCUGAUAUUAUGAUUUUAAGGCAUCUUAGAAUUAUGAAAGCUAUAAGCACUGUGAGAGAGCUUUGCGUCCCAUUAGCUAGUUGGAGAGGUAACAGCUCACCAAGGCGAUGAUGGGUAGCCGGCCUGAGAGGGUGAACGGCCACAAGGGGACUGAGACACGGCCCUU